GAUGAAGAACGCAGCGAAAUGCGAUAAGUAAUGUGAAUUGCAGAAUUCAGUGAAUCAUCGAAUCUUUGAACGCACAUUGCGCCCGCCAGUAUUCUGGCGGGCAUGCCUGUUCGAGCGUCAUUUCAACCAUCAAGCCCCAGGCUUGUGUUGGGGACCUGCGGCUGCCGCAGGCCCUGAAAAGCAGUGGCGGGCUCGCUGUCACACCGAGCGUAGUAGCAUACAUCUCGCUCUGGGCGUGCUGCGGGUUCCGGCCGUAAAACCACCUUCAUAACCCAAGGUUGACCUCGGAUCAGGUAGGAAGACCCGCUGAACUUAAGCAUAUCAAUAAGCGGAGGA
rnacentral:misc_RNA from 1 species